rnacentral:rRNA from 1 species
AUUGAACGCUGGCGGCAUGCCUUACACAUGCAAGUCGAACGGCAGCGGACCUUCGGGUGCCGGCGAGUGGCGAACGGGUGAGUAAUAUAUCGGAACGUACCUUUCAGUGGGGGAUAACGUAGCGAAAGUUACGCUAAUACCGCAUAUUCUGUGAGCAGGAAAGCAGGGGAUCGCAAGACCUUGCGCUGAUUGAGCGGCCGAUAUCAGAUUAGCUAGUUGGUGAGGUAAAGGCUCACCAAGGCGACGAUCUGUAGCGGGUCUGAGAGGAUGAUCCGCCACACUGGAACUGAGACACGGUCUAGACUCCUACGGGAGGCAGCAGUGGGGAAUUUUGGACAAUGGGCGCAAGCCUGAUCCAGCCAUGCCGCGUGAGUGAAGAAGGCCU